rnacentral:rRNA from 1 species
UAGUGAGUUUGAUCCUGGCUCAGGACGAACGCUGGCGGCGUGCCUAAUACAUGCAAGUCGAGCGCAGGAAAUCGACGGAACCCUUCGGGGGGAAGUCGACGGAAUGAGCGGCGGACGGGUGAGUAACACGUAAAGAACCUGCCCUCAGGUCUGGGAUAACCGACGAGAAAUCGGGGCUAAUACCGGAUGGGUCAUCGGACCGCAUGGUCCGAGGAUGAAAGGCGCUUCGGCGUCGCCUGGGGAUGGCUUUGCGGUGCAUUAGCUAGUUGGUGGGGUAAUGGCCUACCAAGGCGACGACGUGUAGCCGACCUGAGAGGGUGACC